CUACGGGUUGCUGCAGUGAGGAAUAUUGCACAAUGGGGGGAACCCUGAUGCAGCAAUGCCGCGUGGAGGAUGAGGCAUUUCGGUGUGUAAACUCCUUUUAUAUGUCAAGAAAAUGACGGUAGCAUAUGAAUAAGCACCGGCUAACUCCGUGCCAGCAGCCGCGGUAAUACGGAGGGUGCAAGCGUUACUCGGAAUCACUGGGCGUAAAGGACGCGUAGGCGGGUUGGAAAGUCAGGUGUGAAAUCCUACAGCUUAACUGUAGAACUGCACUUGAAACUUCUAAUCUAGAGUAUGGGAGGGGGAGAUGGAAUUAGUGGUGUAGGGGUAAGAUCCGUAGAUAUCACUAGGAAUACCUAAAGCGAAGGCGAUCUCCUGGAACAUUACUGACGCUAAGGCGUGAAAGCGUGGGGAGCAAACAGGAUUAGAUACCCGAGUAGUC
rnacentral:rRNA from 1 species